CCUUGUACACACCGCCCGUCACAUCAUGGGAGUUGGUUCUACCCGAAGGCGAUGACCUAACCGUAAGGAAGGAGUCGACUAAGGUGGGGCCGAUGACUGGGAUG
rnacentral:rRNA from 1 species